AUCGCUGCGACACUUUGAACCUUCGGCUGUUCUAGUGCGCUCGUAUUUUACCGCGUUUAUUUUGGAUCCUACUUCCCAUAGACAAUAAAGGACGACAUUAAGAAUGACUUCACCGGCGAUAAGUAAAUCACCUGAAAAGCAAAAGUCAGAGAGCAAGUCUCCAUCACAUGCUUCCAUCAACACUCAACCUAUAGGAAAUACAUCCUCAGAGCCGCCACGGGCCGAUCCUUUUAGUUGCUUACGAAUUUUCAAACUUGCAGGUCUAAUGAUGAAACAAGGAUGUUAAUGCGUGGUACCUAGCAAAUGUAGCAUGUUGGAGAUAGCUUAUUUUUUUAAGUAUUAUCUACCGCAAAGUGAAAUAUCUAAUUAAAAAUAUCAUUCUUAGGAUACGAUACAUUGAGAUAUAGGGAAUGAAGAUAUUUUUCGAAUUUAUUUCAUUAUAAAAGCUAGUAUUAGUAUUUCUCCUCAAACCGUUUGUAGUCGUACUAUAUGCAUUGGUUGGUGAUCAUUAUUAACACUGUACUGCCAUCAGGACCACUCACGCUGGACAGUCAAUAAGUUUCCAAAACUCCGUGAAUAUUCGGCGAAUUUUUUAGUUUUAAAAUGUAUAAGUGUGUGGAAAUAAUGCUAACCUAGUAAUGGAGAGCACAAGAAGCAUAUUGUUAUACGAUGCUCUCAGGUAAUUGCAAAAAAAAUAUUUUAAAAUUAAAUCAUGUUAUUGUUUGUAGCUUUAAAGAUGUUUUAGAAGCGAUGAAAAGUUAUAAAAUGUAGGCAAAUGCCUCAUCUUGUAGUUUCUAUCUUAGAAUGAAUCUAAAUAUGUCGGUUUUAGCAUGAUUGUUAAAAUGUUUAUGUUUAAUAAACUUUAUUAAAAUAAGA